rnacentral:rRNA from 1 species
UACGGAGGAUGCGAGCGUUAUCCGGAUUUAUUGGGUUUAAAGGGUGCUCAGGCGGAUUUUUAAGUCAGCGGUCAAAUCGUGGGGCUCAACCCCAUCCAGCCGUUGAAACUGAUGAUCUUGAGUGGGCGAGAAGUAUGCGGAAUGCGUGGUGUAGCGGUGAAAUGCAUAGAUAUCGCGCAGAACCCCGAUUGCGAAGGCAGCGUACCGGCUCCACACUGACGCUGAGGCACGAAAGCGUGGGUAUCGAACAGG